GACGAACCGAGCGAACGUUGUUCGGAAUCACUGGGCUUAAAGGGCGCGUAGGCGGGUGCUCAAGUCCGGGGUGAAGUCCUCCAGCUCAACUGGAGAACUGCCUCGGAUACUGGGUGCCUCGAGUGUGGUAGGGGUGUGCGGAACUAUCGGUGGAGCGGUGAAAUGCGUUGAUAUCGAUAGGAACUCCGGUGGCGAAGGCGGCACACUGGACCACAACUGACGCUGAGGCGCGAAAGCCAGGGGAGCAAACGGG
rnacentral:rRNA from 1 species